GGCCGGUUAGCUCAGUUGGUUAGAGCGUGGUGCUAAUAACGCCAAGGUCAUGGUUAGAUCCCCAUACUGGCCA
rnacentral:tRNA from 1 species